rnacentral:rRNA from 1 species
UACGAAGGGGGCUAGCGUUGCUCGGAAUCACUGGGCGUAAAGCGCACGUAGGCGGACUCUUAAGUCGGUGGUGAAAUCCUGGAGCUCAACUCCAGAACUGCCUUCGAUACUGGGAGUCUCGAGUCCGAGAGAGGUGAGUGGAACUGCGAGUGUAGAGGUGAAAUUCGUAGAUAUUCGCAAGAACACCAGUGGCGAAGGCGGCUCACUGGCUCGGUACUGACGGCUGAG